CACCAGACUCCUACGGGAGGCAGCAGUGAGGAAUAUUGGUCAAUGGGCGAGAGCCUGAACCAGCCAAGUCGCGUGAAGGAUGACGGCCCUACGGGUUGUAAACUUCUUUUGUCAGGGAGCAAUUGGGUCCACGCGUGGGCUUAGCGAGAGUACCUGAAGAAAAAGCAUCGGCUAACUCCGUGCCAGCAGCCGCGGUAAUACGUAGGGGGCGAGCGUUAUCCGGAUUCACUGGGUGUAAAGGGAGCGUAGACGGCCAUGCAAGCCAGGUGUGAAAGCCCGGGGCCCAACCCCGGGACUGCUCUUGGAACUGCGUGGCUGGAGUGCAGGAGGGGCGGGCGGAAUUCCUGGUGUAGCGGUGAAAUGCGUAGAUAUCAGGAGGAACACCGGUGGCGAAGGCGGCCUGCUGGACUGCGACUGACGUUGAGGCCCGAAAGCGUGGGGAGCAAACAGGAAUAGAUACCCCUGUA
rnacentral:rRNA from 1 species